AUGCAGAUGAUGCAUAUUUCACGAGUUGCAGACCCCCCAACAGCAAAUUCAGUCCUACAUUUUUUAUGGUUACACAGAGAUGGCUGGCUCCGUCCUGCUCCAGUGAUGGCUUCCAUCCACCCGAUGAACAGGACUACAUGGGAGAUGUAUGACGACCUAGCAAACCCCCGUCUGGUCAGCAGAAGUAUUCUGAUACUUUUCCUUAUGAGCCGGUGGCAGCCAAUGAGGGUUCCCCAUCCGAUGCUUGGUGCGGAGAAGGGGCCGUUCUCCUCUCAUGCAAGCGGCCCAAGUGCUGCCUGA
rnacentral:rRNA from 1 species